UCGGAGAAGGCUAUGUUGGCCGGGCGACGGUUGUCCCGGUUUAAGCGUGUAGGCUGGUUUUCCAGGCAAAUCCGGAAAAUCAAGGCUGAGGCGUGAUGACGAGGCACUACGGUGCUGAAGCAACAAAUGCCCUGCUUCCAGGAAAAGCCUCUAAGCAUCAGGUAACAUCAAAUCGUACCCCAAACCGACACAGGUGGUCAGGUAGGGAAUACCAAGGCGCUUGAGAGAACUCGGGUGAAGGAACUAGGCAAAAUGGUGCCGUAACUUCGGGAGAAGGCACGCUGAUAUGUAGGUGAGGUCCCUCGCGGAUGGAGCUGAAAUCAGUCGAAGAUACCAGCUGGCUGCAACUGUUUAUUAAAAACACAGCACUGUGCAAACACGAAAGUGGACGUAUACGGUGUGACGCCUCCCCGGUGCCGGAAGGUUAAUUGAUGGGGUUAGCGCAAGCGAAGCUCUUGAUCGAAGCCCCGGUAAACGGCGGCCGUAACAAUAACGGUCCUAAGGUAGCGAAAUUCCUUGUCGGGUAAGUUCCGACCUGCACGAAUGGCGUAAUGAUGGCCAGGCUGUCUCCACCCGAGACUCAGUGAAAUUGAACUCGCUGUGAAGAUGCAGUGUACCCGCGGCAAGACGGAAAGACCCCGUGAACCUUUACUAUAGCUUGACACUGAACAUUGAGCCUUGAUGAGUAGGAUAGGUGGGAGGCUUUGAAGUGUGGACGCCAGUCUGCAUGGAGCCGACCUUGAAAUACCACCCUUUAAUGUUUGAUGUUCUAACGUUGACCCGUAAUCCGGGUUGCGGACAGUGUCUGGUGGGUAGUUUGACUGGGGCGGUCUCCUCCUAAAGAGUAACGGAGGAGCACGAAGGUUGGCUAAUCCUGGUCGGACAUCAGGAGGUUAGUGCAAUGGCAUAAGCCAGCUUGACUGCGAGCGUGACGGCGCGAGCAGGUGCGAAAGCAGGUCAUAGUGAUCCGGUGGUUCUGAAUGGAAGGGCCAUCGCUCAACGGAUAAAAGGUACUCCGGGGAUAACAGGCUGAUACCGCCCAAGAGUUCAUAUCGACGGCGGUGUUUGGCGCCUCGAUGUCGGCUCAUCACAUCCUGGGGCUGAAGUAGGUCCCAAGGGUAUGGCUGUUCGCCAUUUAAAGUGGUACGCGAGCUGGGUUUAGAACGUCGUGAGACAGUUCGGUCCCUAUCUGCCGUGGGCGCUGGAGAACUGAGGGGGGCUGCUCCUAGUACGAGAGGACCGGAGUGGACGCAUCACUGGUGUUCGGGUUGUCAUGCCAAUGGCACUGCCCGGUAGCUAAAUGCGGAAGAGAUAAGUGCUGAAAGCAUCUAAGCACGAAACUUGCCCCGAGAUGAGUUCUCCCUGACCCUUUAAGGGUCCUGAAGGAACGUUGAAGACGACGACGUUGAUAGGCCGGGUGUGUAAGCGCAGCGAUGCGUUGAGCUAACCGGUACUAAUGAACCGUGAGGCUUAACC
rnacentral:rRNA from 1 species